GAUGAAGAACGCAGAGAAAUGCGAUAAGUAAUGUGAAUUGCAGAAUUCAGUGAAUCAUCGAAUCUUUGAACGCACAUUGCGCCCCCUGGUAUUCCGGGGGGCAUGCCUGUCCGAGCGUCAUUACAACCCUCAAGCUCAGCUUGGUGUUGGGCCCCGCCGCCCCGGCGGGCCCUAAAGUCAGUGGCGGUGCCGUCCGGCUCCGAGCGUAGUAAUUCUUCUCGCUCUGGAGGUCCGGUCGUGUGCUCGCCAGCAACCCCCAAUUUUUUUCAGGUUGACCUCGGAUCAGGUAGGGAUACCCGCUGAACUUAAGCAUAUCAAUAAGCGGGGA
rnacentral:misc_RNA from 1 species